UGCAGCGCCUGAAUCCCGUUAGCCAAUGGGUUAAAGGGACCUUGUGGCGCGCCCUUACUAAAAUUUCUAUUGGUUUUAUACCUCAGGAAGCUCCCUCGCCUGGGACCCCAAAGCAGGUGCGAGGCCUGUAACGAGGUGAAGCCUGUUAGUAUGCGCCUCUAUAGAGUCGGGUUACUUGAGAGUGUAGCCCUAAGUGGAAGGUAAACCCCUUCUAAAGCUAAAUAAGACCACGAGACCGAUAGCGAACAAGUACCGCGAGGGAAAGUUGAAAAGAACUUUGAAGAGAGAGUUCAAAAGGGCGUGAAACCGCUUAGAAGAAAACGGACGGAGCCGUCAGGAGCCUCUGGGAAUCAGUUAUGCGAUUCGCGAAAGUGCUUUAGUUUCAGAACGCAAGUCUGACUGGAGUUCUAUUAGUAGCGAUCGUGUGGCGCAUUUCUCAGAGGUAAGCACUGCGACCGAUACGAAAGGCCAGUGAAGCGAUUUGAUUGAGGUCGAGUCCCGCAAGGGACUUGUAACCAGUCUUAUCGCCUCGAGUCACUGGACCGAAGUAUGUAUCGAGUGCCUAGAAAGAAUACGCCGGCGUAAACGCUCGCUGGAGUAAUGGAUAGUUGGUUGAUCAGUUGGUUCCUGCUUGCAGGGACUAGCGAAUUUGGCUGGCUUAGAAGUUACCGGCGACUAUAAGGCGUAUUGGCUUCGGCAGUGUCAGUGUCGGCCACCCAUCCGACCCGUCUUGAAACACGGACCAAGGAGUCUAACAUAUGCGCGAGCUAAUAGGUGAAAAACCUAUAGGCGCAAUAAAAGUAAAUGCUGUUUCGGACAGCUAAGAUACGAUCCUGGACACGAUCCAGGCGCAGUAUCGUCCCGUCUUGACCGCAUGUCGGUAGGGCGGAGAUAGAGUGCAUACGUUGGGACCCGAAAGAUGGUGAACUAUGCCUGAGCAGAGCGAAGCCAGAAGGAACUCUGGUGGAGGUUCGUAGCGGUUCUGACGUGCAAAUCGAUCGUCAGAUAUGGGAUAGCGU
rnacentral:rRNA from 1 species